rnacentral:rRNA from 1 species
AAGUGUUAGAGGGGGGCCGCCUUUUGUGCCGCAGCAAACGCGUUAAGCACUACACCUGGGGAGUACGGCCGCAAGGCUGAAACUCAAAGGAAUUGACGGGGGCCCGCACAAGCGGUGGAGCAUGUGGUUUAAUUCGAAGCAACGCGAAGAACCUUACCAGGUCUUGACAUCCCCUGACAUCCCUAGAGAUAGGGCGUUCCCCUU